UAAACCCUUUAAAGACAAUACAAAGCUUGUCAUUCAGCAAAUUCAGAGUUUAGCUAGGUGUUUGCUAGAAGAGAGAGAAUGGAAGCCAAACAAGUUAGGUGCGCAGUGCUGGUUUGUCUAGUGCUGGGAUUGGUCAUGGGGCAGUCCACAGCUCAACUAUUCCAACUGUGCUAUGGUGCUUGCUUUGGCAUCUGCAUUGUCAAUGACCACAAUCCUCUCAAAUGUGGGAUUCGCUGCUUGAAAAAGUGCAUCCUAACUCCUGAACCUUCGGACGGCCACCAAACAAAUUCUCUCCACUUCUGCAAGCUUGGUUGUGCCACCUCUUUGUGCACUAAUAUCAGCACCAAAGAUAAUCCAAAUGAAGAAAAGGUGAAGAAUUGUGUGGAUUCUUGCUCGGGAACAUGCACCAAUGCUCAGGCUUCAACAAAGAACUAAAGAGUGAUCACGUGAAUAGAAUUAUGCAACAUGUGGUUGUAGUAAUUCUUAACAAAUCUUAUUAUUCAUAAUGGAAUUUGAUUGCUUUUAUGUAGUGAUUUCAGCCAAAAUGAAUUGUGUGGCUGGGCAAUGCAAUAGAAAAUAUGCAUGUU